rnacentral:lncRNA from 1 species
AUCCGGGGGAGGGGACAAGUAUUAACUUUUUCGUCUUACAGAAUCCAUAUUCCAAUUAAAGUGGCGCUACCAUGUCGCGCGUAACGCAAUCCGAUUUGCGCGGAGUGAAGGAAGAAGUUUAACACAAUUCAUGACGUCUGUAAACCUUUCGGGAAAUCACAAGAGAGGAAAAACAGUCCUCCAUCUAGCUUUCUCCAAAACUCCCUGAAUUAGCUGCGCCUCCGCUGCGCAACAGGGCGGAGACUGAGUCACAAAGUGGCCCGUCCUAGUGCUCGCACACACUCACAUACACGGAUCACACACACAGAGCGAGAGAGACACCCACACACUUCUCCUAGCGCUUGGAGAAACUUUCACUGCUCAGGUCAACCUGUUUCCAGCACACAUGCCAGUGAUCCCAUGUGGUUUAAAACAUUUACGAGUCGAGAUAAUGAACAUUAGAGACUCAAAGGAACGCUGCCAAUUUGUGAACACGGCCACAGACCACAAAACCAUUGAAAACUUCUAUGGACAUCUCUGGCAAUGUUGCAUUACAAGACACAGGUAUGGAUCAGACACAUGAGCAGGAGGAGAAGAUACCAAAGCAUCAGCAUCAGCAGCAACAUGAACAUGAAAAAGAAGAAGAAAAAGAAAAAACAGAUUUCAUUAGAGUGACGCAACAGCAUAUGUGUGCAGGACCCUCAUACUUACCAAACCUUUUAGUCUGUGACUUUUAA